GGCGGACGGGUUAGUAACGCGUGGGAACGUGCCCUUCUCUGCGGAAUAGCCACUGGAAACGGUGAGUAAUACCGCAUACGCCCUUCGGGGGAAAGAUUUAUCGGAGAAGGAUCGGCCCGCGUUAGAUUAGAUAGUUGGUGGGGUAACGGCCUACCAAGUCUACGAUCUAUAGCUGGUUUUAGAGGAUGAUCAGCAACACUGGGACUGAGACACGGCCCAGACUCCUACGGGAGGCAGCAGUGGGGAAUCUUAGACAAUGGGCGCAAGCCUGAUCUAGCCAUGCCGCGUGUGUGAUGAAGGUCUUAGGAUCGUAAAGCACUUUCGCCAGGGAUGAUAAUGACAGUACCUGGUAAAGAAACCCCGGCUAACUCCGUGCCAGCAGCCGCGGUAAUACGGAGGGGGUUAGCGUUGUUCGGAAUUACUGGGCGUAAAGCGCGCGUAGGCGGAUUGGAAAGUUGGGGGUGAAAUCCCGGGGCUCAACCCCGGAACUGCCUCCAAAACUAUCAGUCUAGAGUUCGAGAGAGGUGAGUGGAAUUCCAAGUGUAGAGGUGAAAUUCGUAGAUAUUUGGAGGAACACCAGUGGCGAAGGCGGCUCACUGGCUCGAUACUGACGCUGAGGUGCGAAAGUGUGGGGAGCAAACAGGAUUAGA
rnacentral:rRNA from 1 species